AAUCAGAAUCUACCCUGGAGUGUGCUGUUUCCCUGUGAUAGCAGGAAAAUGUUCCACACCGCUCCGCGCAGAGCAGUCAGCAAACAGAAAACAAAGUUCGGUCAAAGAUGUGUGAUCCACAGAAAUGGAGGGUCAUGUUUAAUCCAGGGUGCCUGUCCUCCUGACACAAUACCACGACCUCGCCAUCUGUUGUGACCCCACAUGGGAGAAGGGAGGCACCUUGCUUCUUCAGCUUCCACACCUACCCUGCAUCUUUCUGCUCAAGGAAGGGGGAUUGGACUUCAGGAAAGGGGCUCUCUAUCUCAGAUUUCCUCAAGAACUAAGAGGAAUCAUGGACUCCUUCUACCCCAAAAGCAACGUGGAAGGAGAAAUGGACCUUGAGAAAUGAGUAAAGUUAGAUCUAUCAAACCCUGAUUCUCCCACAUACUUAAUUCAUGAUCUUGGGAGAAUAUUGUAUCUUCUGUUUUUUUGUGCGCUAACUUCGCAUUUUUGUUUUGAGGAUUAAAUGAGAUAAUACUUGU